rnacentral:rRNA from 1 species
UACGUAGGGUGCAAGCGUUGUCCGGAUUUAUUGGGCGUAAAGAGCUCGUAGGCGGUUUGGUAAGUUGGAUGUGAAAUCUCCAGGCUCAACUUGGAGGGGUCAUUCGAUACUGCCAUGACUAGAGUUCGGCAGGGGAGACUGGAAUUCCUGGUGUAGCGGUGAAAUGCGCAGAUAUCAGGAGGAACACCGGUGGCGAAGGCGGGUCUCUGGGCCGAUACUGACGCUGAGGAGCGAAAGCGUGGGGAGCGAACAGG